UACGAUGGGUAGGGGUCCUGAGAGGGAGAUCCCCCACACUGGUACUGAGACAACGGACCAGACUCCUACGGGGAGGCAGCAGUGAGGAAUAUUGGACAAUGGGCGCAAGCCUGAUCCAGCCAUGCCGCGUGCAGGAUGACGGUCCUAUGGAUUGUAAACUGCUUUUAUACAGGAAGAAACCCUGGUUUGUGAACCAGCUUGACGGUACUGUAAGAAUAAGGAUCGGCUAACUCCGUGCCAGCAGCCGCGGUAAUACGGAGAGAUCCAAGCGUUAUCCGGAAUCAUUGGGUUUAAAGGGUCCGUAGGCGGUUUAGUAAGUCAGUGGUGAAAGCCCAUCGCUUCAACGGUGGAACGGCCAUUGAUACUGCUAAACUUGAAUUAUUAGGAAGUAACUAGAAUAUGUAGUGUAGCGGUGAAAUGCUUAGAGAUUACAUGGAAUACCAAUUGCGAAGGCAGGUUACUACUAAUUGAUUGACGCUGAUGGACGAAAGCGUGGGUAGCGAACAGGAUUAGAUACCAACUGGUAGUCCACGCCGUAAACGAUGGAUACUAGCUGUUGGGGGCNAACUCUCUCGUGGUCUCAGACGCAAGAGUCCUAGAAUCUACCUCCCAGUGGGCCCUGGGAUCCCGAA
rnacentral:rRNA from 1 species